GGAAUGAAACUAAACCCUAAAGUUUAAAGGUAUCAUACGUAUUGGAAUACGAUUAAGAGAUAUAACAAGUAUCUCGACUAAGUAUUAGAAUACGAUCAAGGUUAAAAGUCGUAUUUGAACUACGAUUAUAUUAACCUAAGUUUAUAACUUAGAGUUUUGAUAUUAAGCCUACGUUUAUGAAUUAAACGUACGUAUGAUUUGAAUAGGAAGUGGAUACAUCGACGAGGUACGAGAUCGACGAGCUGGAAUAGUUAAAAGAGUGAAUGACGUGUGGAGCUUACGUUUGGAUAUAAGGAAUAGCGAUCGUUGUGUAUAGAGUCGGAUCAGACAGACCGUCUUUGGUGUGCUGGGUACAAGACCCCUUGGUGCUGCAGUAGUAUACGUGUGACGAGUCUUAGCCUAGUAUAGUUAGGUCUUAUAGGUUGUGUACGUGUUUAAUGUUUGUUUGAUGUGACAUCUUUUGGUUGUCAGUUUUUGUAUUGAUCGAUAGAUGGGCUAGUACGUACCAGUUACGGAAGUGAAAUGCCCACUAUGAUUGUAUCGAUGAUGUGUUUAUAUAUGAUGUUAUGUUAUGAUUGUAAA